rnacentral:rRNA from 1 species
AUUGAACGCUGGCGGCAGGCUUAACACAUGCAAGUCGAACGAGUGGCGGACGGGUGAGUAAUGCUUGGGAAUCUAGCUUAUGGAGGGGGAUAACUACGGGAAACUGUAGCUAAUACCGCGUACCAUCGGCUGAGCCCAUGUGGGAUUAGGUAGUUGGUGGGGUAAAGGCUCACCAAGCCGACGAUCGCUAGCUGGUCUGAGAGGAUGACCAGCCACACUGGGACUUGGACACGGCCCAGACUCCUACGGGAGGCAGCAGUGGGGAAUUUUGCGCAAUGGGGGCAACCUGACAAAGCCAUGCCGCGUGAAUGAAGAAGGCCUUCGGGUUGUAAAGUUCUUUCGGUAGCGAGGCGUUAACUACAGAAGAAGCACCGGCUAACUCCGUGCCAGCAGCCGCGGUAAUUC